rnacentral:rRNA from 1 species
AACGAACGCUGGCGGCAUGCCUAACACAUGCAAGUCGAACGAGACCUUCGGGUCUAGUGGCGCACGGGUGCGUAACGCGUGGGAACCUGCCCUUAGGUUCGGAAUAACUCCCCGAAAGGGGUGCUAAUACCGGAUAAUGUCUUCGGACCAAAGAUUUAUCGCCUUUGGAUGGGCCCGCGUUGGAUUAGCUAGUUGGUAGGGUAAAAGCCUACCAAGGCGACGAUCCAUAGCUGGUCUGAGAGGAUGAUCAGCCACACUGGGACGGAGACACGGCCCAAACCCUUCCGGAGGGGCGAAGGGGGGAAUAUGGAACACUGGGCGAGUGCCGAAGCCAGCAGGCCCGCGAGAGUGAUGAAGGCCUUAGGGUUGAAAGGCUCUUUUACCCGGCACGAUAUGAAGGGAACCGGGAAGAAAAGCCCCGCCAACCUCCGU